rnacentral:rRNA from 1 species
UACGGGGGGAGCAAGCGUUGUUCGGAUUUACUGGGCGUAAAGGGCGCGUAGGCGGUCAGCACAAGUCAGUUGUGGAAUCUCCGGGCUUAACUCGGAAAGGUCAACUGAUACUGUGCGACUAGAGUGCGGAAGGGGCAACUGGAAUUCUUGGUGUAGCGGUGAAAUGCGUAGAUAUCAAGAGGAACACCUGCGGCGAAGGCGGGUUGCUGGGCCGACACUGACGCUGAGGCGCGAAAGCCAGGGGAGCGAACGGG